UACGGAGGAUGCAAGCGUUAUCCGGAUUCAUUGGGUUUAAAGGGUGCGUAGGUGGGUUUGUAAGUCAGUGGUGAAAUAUUGUCGCUUAACGAUAAGGUUGCCAUUGAUACUGCAGGUCUUGAGUUUGGUUGAGGUAGGCGGAAUGUGCAGUGUAGCGGUGAAAUGCAUAGAGAUUGCACAGAACUCCGAUCGCGAAGGCAGCUUACUAAGCCAAAACUGACGCUGAGGCACGAAAGCGUGGGGAUCGAACAGGAUUAGA
rnacentral:rRNA from 1 species